UGGUCACUCGCUCAGGCUGCUCUAGAGGCCCCAUGGCCAGGGCCCGGCUCUGAGGGCCCCACGGGCCAGCUUCUCAGGGGGCCGUGUUCUUCCUGGGCCAAGGCUGCGUGCUCAGCAGGGUGGAUGCAGCAUGUGCCGAACUGUUCUCUUCACAACACCCCUGCCCUGCUGGGCGACAGCCCCCAUGCCAAGCAUGAAGGGGCACCAGGGAGAGAGAGGCGAGUGGAGGCUGGGACAGAUGGCGCCCUGAAGUGUGGGUCGAGUCCGAAUCAGGCAGGGUCCCUGAACCCUGGUGCUGGGGGAAGUCGCCGACCUGUGGCCAGGGCGGGGCUGAUAAGUUCCAUCAAUCACUUGACUGUCUCUCCUUCCUCGGGCCUCCAUCCG
rnacentral:sRNA from 1 species